rnacentral:rRNA from 1 species
UUGACCUCGGAUCAGGUAGGGAUACCCGCUGAACUUAAGCAUAUCAAUAAGCGGAGGAAAAGAAACCAACCGGGAUUGCCUCAGUAACGGCGAGUGAAGCGGCAAGAGCUCAAAUUUGAAAUCUGGCCCC